GCCAGGCACAGUGGCUCAUGCCUGUAAUCCCAGCACUUUGGGAGGCUAAGGCAGGUGGAUCACCUGAGGUCAGGAGUUCGAGACCAGCCUGGCCAACAUAGUGAAACCCUGUCUUUACUAAAAAUAAAAAAAAAUUAGCCCGGGUGCGGUGGCUCACUCCUGUAAUCCCAGAACUUUGGGAGGCCGAGGCGGGUGGAUCACCUGAGGUCAGGAGUUCGAGACCAGCCUGACUAAGAUGGUGAAACCCUGUCUCU
rnacentral:sRNA from 1 species